UCAAAAGCAGAUGCUUAACCCACUGAGCCACCCAGCUGCCCCAAAAUGGCACUUAUGAGCCAUAAAAUUCCAAAGACUUACUUCAGAUGUGCCUGAAUAAGGAGGCACUUACCGCUGCAUGCCAACAGAAGCUUCUUUGCUUCCUGCUUAUGUGUAUGAAGUUGUGAGUUUGGGUCCGGGGCUUCUCAAAAUUAAAUAUGCAUAAAAUCAAAUGGAAAUCAAUGGAAAACAAAUGUACUUUCAGUUUGGCUUACAAACGUCUAAAUAAAAGGUAUUUGGGGUUUUCCUGAAA